UUUGAAUUGUGUCUAAUGUGACAAUUUAUGUGUCUUUGGUCUGAUUGCAUCACUUUCAUCUGAUAGAGCCAGGAGCAUCAGUUGAUUGCAAUCUUCAAUUUAUUUGAAAAUUUUGCUUUUUUACAGUGACGUUCAUGUUGUGCUAAAAUUUUGUUGAAAUGUUUGGUUGCUGAUUUGAUUCUAGUAAUUGAUGCGUCUGGGUUUGGUUAGUGCUCUGGAUUUUUGUUAAUCUAGAAUUAAAAUAUGACAUACUUUGUUUUUCACUUUUAUUUGUAUUAUUUGCCAAAAUAUCUGGACUUGAUUGCCAAGGGCAGAUAGUGAAUUUACCUUACCAUUAACUUUUGAUACUUUGUUUUUUAUUUUCCUCUUCCUGAUUUAUAUAAUUUUUGCAUCUCUUCUUAUAAAGCUAUCCCUUGGAAAUUUGGAAACUUUAGUUGCAAUUUGCAUAUAAUAUUUUAGUCUCUUCUUAUAAAAUUAUCCGUUGGAAAUUUGGCAACUUUGGUUGCAACUUCUUUAU
rnacentral:lncRNA from 1 species